rnacentral:sRNA from 1 species
AUGAAUACAUAUGGAUGGACAGCUAGAGAUUCCUCAAGAAUUCUCUCCCAUUUUCAUUUCGAGAGAAGGUACUUAUUUAGCUAUAUAUUCUACUUGUUCUCAAUAAGAGUUUAUAAGCUCGUCAGAUUGUGCAAACGCUACAUGGCAUUGCUUUGCUAUUUUGUACAGGGCUAAUGGUAACAACAAUAUCACCAUAAAGAUACUCUAUUGUGGGAUUUGCCACACUGAUAUUCACAUGGCUAAGAAUGAAGCAGAAAUGACCAACUAUCCAUUUGUCCUAGGGUAAUCUUUCAAUGUGUUUAUGAAGUGUGAAAAAUUUGUUUGACAAUUAUGUUCUUUGAUAAAAACCGUAUCAUUAUGUUCAUUUCAUGUUUACAUUAAAAAAAAAAAAGUACAUUUCAUUUUUUUUUCUUUAAUUUAAUGCAUGUGUGAUUUAAAAGGUUCCUUUUAAUGGUUUAACCUAUUUGAAAGUUAAAUUUAUGCCUAUGAAAAGUGAACCAUCAACUACUUAUAUAUAUUAAAAAUGAUAAAUUUAAAUAUAAAGAAUCACAUGCUUAUGUAGGAGAUUGAUGAAACCAACUUAAUAUAUAUAUAUAUAUAUAUAACUGAAUCACAUGAGAUUUACUUAUUAAAUUGUUACAUGGAUGACUUGACAUAAUUUAUUUGGUAGAAUCACAUGAUAAUCUACAAAGAUUCAUAGUUUAUUGAAUAAUUCUUUAGUGAGUUGUUGGAUCAUAGCUUUUGCUUUCUUUAAAUGUUUCUCAUUUUUUAUAGGCACGAGACUGAGGGUGAAGUGACAAAGGUUGGGCACAAUGUCACAAAAUUCAAAAUUGGAGAUAAAGCCGGUGUGGGCUGUAUGGUGGGCUCAUGUGGCACAUGUGAAAACUGCAAACUGGACUCGGAAAUUUAUUGCCCCGAAAUGAUUUGGACCUUAAAACCUUUGGUGGAUUUUCUGAAAACAUAGUCAUAGAUGAGCAUUUUGCAGUGUUAAUUCCAAAUAGUUUGCCAUUACAUGGUGCUGCUCCACUUUUGUGUGCUGGGAUUACUGUGUACAGUCCCAUGAUGUACUAUGGAUUCUGUAAGCCUGGUCAAUAUUUGGGUGUGGUUGGGCUUGGUGGAUUGGGUCAUGUGGUUGUGAAGUUUGCCAAAGUUUUAGGAACGAAGGUCACAGUAAUAAGCACCUCUCCAAGCAAGCAAAAGGAAGCAGUGGAACGGCUUGGGGUGGAUUAAUUUUUGGUUAGUCAUGACCAAGAGCAAUUGCUGGUAACUAAGAACUAGUUAUUCUUAUUUUGAACUAAUACAGAAUAUCUCACUCAAAGAUAUGCCAUUGAUAUCCAAAUUGAGAUACAACGCACGUCAAAAAAAUGAGCUUCAAGCAAAUCAUAGGGCAUAGUUGCAUUUCACGUUGUGUUGUUGGAAAAGUUAUCGGCUGCUACGGAAAAAUGCAUCGGGCUCUCUCAUAAUAUGUAAGCCUCAUAAUUGUAUAAGAUUCACUUGUUAUGAGAGGCCCACUGCAUGUAUCGGAAACAUGAGAUACAAUAUCCUAUUUAUUGAACUUUAAUGAUUGAAAAGAUUACAACAGUAUAAAAUUGGUGUUGGUAUUUUAUUUUGUUUUAUAUAGAUAUGAGAGAUGAUUUUUCUUAAUCAUAAGGUCAAGAUACUACGGAUUUCUUUUUGGUGUAAGCAGGAUUCAAUCCUAUAUCCCUUUUUAUUGAAAAAUAAUUGUAUGUUCAAUUUGACUUUGGACUAUACCUCAAAGCAAUUUUCCACCCGUGAGGAUACAAACUUUAUUAGUUUAUGGAAAUUAUCUUAAUCUAAAAUUGGUAAUGAAAUAAGCAUGAACAAUUCUUCUCUCUUAGGCUGUCAUGGACACAAUGGAUAGUAUCAUUGACACAGUUUCAAGCCCUCACCCUAUACUGCUAUUAAUUGAUUUGUUGAAGACUAAUGGAAAAUUCAUUGUAGUUGGUGUUCCAAUAGAGGCUCCUGAGAUACCAUAUAUUCUUUUAAUUAUGGGUAAGUGUUUAUUUUUAAAGGGUCUAUUUCAAAUGGAGAGGAUCAUUUUUUUCGAGUUCUAGUGCUUCCUUGUUUUUCUAAGUGUAUAUGAUUAAACAGGAAGGAAGCUUAUUGGUGGUAGCGGCACCAGGGGAAUGAAAGAGACACAAGAGAUGGUUGAUUUUGCAGCAAAUCACAAUAUUAUCGCAAAUGUUGAAGUUAUUCCUAUGGACUAUGUGAACACUGCCAUGGAAAGACUUGCCAAUGGUGAUGUUAAAUAUCGCUUUGUCAUAGAUAUUGCAAACACCUUAAAUUCUUCAUUUUGA